rnacentral:rRNA from 1 species
GUGUCAGCAGCCGCGGUAAAACGUAGGACACGAGCGUUAUCCGGAGUUACUGGGCGUAAAGGGCGUGCAGGCGGCAUGGUAAGUCUGAUGUGAAAGCUCCCGGCUCAACCGGGAGAGGACAUUGGAGACUGCCAAGCUCGAGGCAGAUAGAGGGAUGUAGAAUUCCGGGUGUAGUGGUGAAAUGCGUAGAGAUCCGGAGGAAUACCAGAGGCGAAGGCGGCAUCCUGGGUCUGACCUGACGCUGAGACGCGACAGCAUGGGGAGCGAACGGGAUUAGAUACCCCCGUAGUCC